rnacentral:tRNA from 2 species
CGGGGUUUAGCUCAGCUGGUUCAGCGCAUCCCGAUUUUACAUCGGGAGGGUCACUGGUUCGAAUCCAGCAGCCUCCA